UACGAGGGGGGCAAAUCUUGUUCGGAAUCACUGGGCGUAAAGGGAGCGUAGGCGGGUUUCUAAGUCAGGUGUUUAAUCCCGGGGCCCAACCCCGGACAGGCACUUGAAACUGGGAAUCUUGAAUAGUGGAGAGGUCAGUGGAAUUGGGGGUGUAGCGGUGGAAUGCGUAGAGAUCCCCAAGAACACCAGUUGCGAAGGCGGCUGACUGGACACAUAUUGACGCUGAGGCUCGAAAGCAUGGGGAGCAAACAGG
rnacentral:rRNA from 1 species